GACGAACGCUGGCGGCGUGCUUAACACAUGCAAGUCGAACGCUGAAGCACCAGCUUGCUGGUGUGGAUGAGUGGCGAACGGGUGAGUAAUACGUGAGUAACCUGCCCUUGACUCUGGGAUAAGCCCGGGAAACUGGGUCUAAUACUGGAUGCUACAUGUCACCGCAUGGUGGUGUGUGGAAAGGGUUUACUGGUCUUGGAUGGGCUCACGGCCUAUCAGCUUGUUGGUGAGGUAAUGGCUCACCAAGGCGACGACGGGUAGCCGGCCUGAGAGGGUGACCGGCCACACUGGGACUGAGACACGGCCCAGACUCCUACGGGAGGCAGCAGUGGGAAAUAUUGCACAAUGGGCGAAAGCCUGAUGCAGCGACGCCGCGUGAGGGAUGACGGCCUUCGGGUUGUAAACCUCUUUCAGCAGGGAAGAAGCCACAAGUGACGGUACCUGCAGAAGAAGCGCCGGCUAACUACGUG
rnacentral:rRNA from 1 species